rnacentral:siRNA from 1 species
CCUGUCUACGGACACAGUGCCC